rnacentral:rRNA from 1 species
AAUAAAAAUAUCUUUGGUUGGGGCAACCGCGAAGAAAAAAAAACCUUUGCACUAAUAAAAAAUUUACAAAUUUAAAAUUUAUAAAAAAAUAGACCCAGAAUACUGAGCAAGGGAAAAAGUUACCGCAGGGAUAACAGCGUAAUUCUCUUUAAGAGUUCAUAUUGACAAGAGAGUUUGCGACCUCGAUGUUGGACCGGGGCACCCCAGGGGUGCAACAGCCCCUAAAGGCGGGUCUGUUCGACCCUUAAAGCCCUACGUGAUCUGAGUUCAGACCGACGCAAGUCAGGUCAGUUUCUAUCUA